rnacentral:RNase_P_RNA from 1 species
GAAGUAGACCAGGCAGUCGCUGUUCCGGCCUUCGGGUCGGAAGAGAGGAAAGUCCGGGCUCCACAGGGCAGGAUACUCCGUAACGCGGAGUGGGGGCGACCCUAAGGAAAGUGCCACAGAAAAGACACAGCCCACCCGGAGAAGUCCGCUUCCCCGGCGGCAAUGGUGAAAAGGUGGGGUAAGAGCCCACCAGUACUCCCGGUGACGGGAGUAGCUUGGUAAACCCUAUCCGGAGCAAGAUCAAAUAGGAAAGUGCUUGAGGGCGGCCCGCCCGAUGCUUUCGGGUUGAUUGCUCGAGCCUGUCGGCAACGGCAGGCCUAGAUUGAUGACUGCCGCCUCUCACGAGGAACAGAACCCGGCUUACCGGUCUACUUCGGCC